CUCCAUUGACUCAAAAGUUCAGACCUACAGCGAAAACUAUGCUUUUCAAGAAGGCCAUUUCCAUUUUCCCCUGUUUCAAUUUGUACCAGUGCUAAGCUAAUGAUGAUGUUCACUUACCAAUAAACAAAGUCAGAUCACAAACAAUCACGGCCCAAAAAUUUCUUGACUAAAAGACUAGGAUUGGAUUAACCUUUAACAAACUACUUUUGCACGUUAAUUACUCUCCCCUACCAGUGUAAAUAAGCGCCCUGAAACACUGUCGAGAGGGCUAUUUUCCCCAGCUUCCAUUAGAAGUCCCAUCAUGCCAGCUGCUAGCUGUUUCCGUCAUCACUAUCUUUAUCUUUCCUUCAUUGACAAUCUUGUAUAACUGCAGAUUCUAUAAUGGGAUUCUCUCAGAGUUUUGGCAUGUAAAUAAUCCUCUGUUUUCUCUGAUAAGAGGAUUACAACAGAGUCGAAUGUCUGAUCAGAAAACAAGGCUCAUGAGUGACCAUUUAUCAAAACCAACCUCAAUUUUUGGUUUGCGGUUAUGGGUAGUUCUUGGUGUGUGUGUAGGGGCAGCCUUUGUGCUGGUUCUUUUCCUUAUUACUCUAUGGCUCGCUUCAAAGCGUUCCAAGACUAAGAGUAUUAACAAACCCAAAAUCCCAGUUGUCUCCAAAGAGAUCCAGGAAAUCAGAGUCGAACCCAUCAAACAACACAGGGCUCAAAUCCAAACCCACACGUUUCCCGACCCGGAGAUUGCCGCCGGAAAUGAAAGGCAAGCUUUGUUGCUUAUGCCUCCGGAGGAGGAGAGUCCAAUAGGAUAUCAUGGGGUUCAGAUUGAGACUGGCAAAGGGCAUUUGAUUUCCUAUCCUCGCUCUUCUGGAGAGGCGCCACGUGGCGGAGGAGGCAGCGGCUGCGGUGUUGAUCAGAUUGCUAUGGUAGGCCCUGAUGUUUCACAUUUGGGGUGGGGCCAUUGGUAUACUUUGAGAGAGCUGGAGGCAUCCACCAAUGGGUUUGCUGAUGAGAAUGUGAUCGGCGAGGGAGGGUAUGGGAUAGUCUACCACGGUGUUUUAGAGGAUAACACUCAGGUAGCUGUCAAGAACUUGCUUAAUGACAGGGGACAGGCUGAGAGGGAAUUCAAAGUUGAAGUGGAAGCCAUUGGAAGAGUCCGGCACAAAAACCUAGCAAGACUGCUUGGCUAUUGUGCUGAAGGAUCUCAUAGGAUGCUGGUGUACGAGUAUGUGAACAACGGGAACUUGGAACAGUGGCUUCAUGGGGAUGUAGGGCCUCGCAGUCCUCUUACUUGGGAAAUAAGAAUGAACAUUGUCUUGGGAACUGCAAAAGGAUUAACCUACCUUCAUGAGGGACUCGAACCAAAAAUAAUUCACCGUGAUGUAAAAUCGAGCAACAUUCUGCUUGACAAGCUGUGGAAUCCUAAAGUUUCAGACUUUGGCCUUGCCAAGCUCCUUUACUCGGAGAGCAGCUAUAUUACAACCCGUGUAAUGGGAACAUUUGGCUAUGUAGCUCCUGAGUAUGCGAGUACAGGCAUGUUGAAUGAAAGGAAUGAUGUGUAUAGCUUUGGAAUUCUUAUUAUGGAAAUUAUUUCAGGGAGGAACCCAGUUGAUUAUAGCCGGCCUCCAGAAGAGGUCAACUUAGUUGAGUGGCUUAAGAAGAAGGUCGCUGAAAGGAAUCCAGAGGGGGUAUUGGAUCCUAAGUUACCAGAGAAGCCUUCUUCAAGGGCACUAAAGAGGGCUCUUCUUGUAGCUUUACGUUGUGUGGACUCAAAUGCACAGAAGAGGCCAAAAAUGGGACAUGUUGUACAUAUGCUUGAAGCUGAUGAGUUCCCAUCGAGAGAUGAUCGCAGAGGCAGAAGAGAUCCAAGAAGCACACUAUCCGAAAAUGCUGAUGGAUCGAUGAAGAAGCCUGUAACAAAAUCAGGUGACAGAGCUAGUGCAAGAAACAAAAGCACUGAAGAGAUUUAACUGAACAGGUUCCCAGUGGAUUGCAAAUAUUGUAUUGCCUGCUGCAGCUCCAUUUAGAUUGGCUGGCCUACUCUAUAGUGAAGUGACUUUGUGGCCAUCACACAUAGACAUACUAAUGUAUCAUCCUUCAUUGCAAGAUUGAAGUCAAGGCUCCUGUGGUUGGGAACUGUUGUCCCUGGGAGCUCUGAGCAAAAGUUGUGCCAUGUAAUUCAUAGUUGCAUUGCUGCUCAAUUCAUAGUUAAAUAAAACCUGUCAUAUAUUAUAAGUUCAGAUUUUAGAUAAUUUAUGUUAAACUUGACUCGGUGGUAUUAGA
rnacentral:misc_RNA from 1 species